UACGGAGGGUGCAAGCAUUAAUCGGAUUUAUUGGGCGUAAAGAGCGCGUAGGCGGGAGCGCAAGUCAGACGUGAAAGCUCGGAGCUUAACUCCGAAAUUGCAUCUGAAACUGCGUUUCUUGAGGAUGGUCGGAGAAAGGAGAAUUCCACAUGUAGCGGUGAAAUGCGUAGAUAUGUGGAGGAAUACCCGUGGCGAAGGCGCCUUUCUAGAUUAUUCCUGACGCUAAGGCGCGAAAGCAAGGGGAGCGAACAGG
rnacentral:rRNA from 1 species